GUGCCAGCCGCCGCGGUAAUACGAAGGGGGCUAGCGUUGUUCGGAAUUACUGGGCGUAAAGCGCGCGUAGGCGGCUAUACAAGUCAGGGGUGAAAUGCCAAAGCUUAACUUUGGAACUGCCUUUGAAACUGUAUAGCUUGAGACUCGGAGGGGAUAGCGGAAUUUCUAAUGUAGCGGUGAAAUGCGUAGAUAUUAGAAGGAACACCGGUGGCGAAGGCGGCUAUCUGGACGAGUACUGACGCUGAGGCGCGAAAGCGUGGGGAUCAAACAGGAUUAGAUACCCUAGUAGUCC
rnacentral:rRNA from 1 species